UUCACUAGUCUAAGUAGCUUUUUUGGGUUUGCUUGUAUAUAUGUUACUUGCAUUUUUUGAAAUUUGUAGGUGUUUAUGGAAUUUGUGCUAGGUAAUAUUUGCUGCACUUGCGGUUACAAAUUUGCUUCGAUUUGUGCUCCAAUUUGCACCUUCAAUUGCCUUUGGCGGACUGCUAUCUGCUCCUAGUUGUGGUUGCCAUUUUCUUCAAAUUAUUGCUGCCAUUGAUGCUAUUGUAUUUCCUGCCUAAACUCCUUUACUUCACUACUACCAAUUAUUUGCUUUAAGGUUAGUUUAUUAAUAGAUUUUUUCUUUCUUUCUAUUAAAAAGAAUUGAUGUUGUUAUUGAUUGGUUUGGUUGGAUUAGAAUAAUUAAAGUUAUUGUCGACUGAGUGUUAGUUCGGUUAGCAUUGACAUUGUUACCUAUACAGAAAGAUGUGGGUUCGAACGUGCUGAAACGUAUUUAUCCUCCUAUUUAAGACUUGGGAGGAACUAUAGUUAGUUCUAGGUUAAUUUAAUUUAGAUUAAUUAUAUUGUUAAGGUUUAUUCUAUAGGAAAUACGAUUUAGAUUAGUCUAAUGUUAGUUUUUGUAAGAAAAUCAAUCUUACACAUCUAUGUUUUGCAGAUGGCUUGCUUAUUUUUGUGAAAGGUAGGGUGGAUUCUAUUGUAGGAGUUAAGUGCUUAAUAGAGCAAUUUUAUAAAGUUUUUCAGGAUUGCAGUUAAAUUCUUCAAAGAGUGAAGUGUUGGUCGGCUGGAAUGGUUGAUUCACAAUUGCAGGAAGUUAAAGAGAGGAGUGGAUUUAGCUUGGGUCAGCUACCUGUGAGAUAUCUUGGAGUCCUUGUUACCAGUUAAUUUACGGAGAAAGCUUGUGCACCCCUUUUAGAUAAAAUUUCUUUCCUACGCAAGUAGAGUGCAACUUAUUCAAGCUAUACAUUUUAAUGUACAGAACUUUUGGGUUAGGCACUCUAUCCUUCUCAUAGCAAUAAUUAAGAAGACCAAUCAAUUGUGUCAGAAAUUCUUAUGGGAGAGGAAUGGAGUUAAUAUGCAUAUUAUGGGCCGGGCCGGGUCGGGUUAGGUUUGAAGCAAAAUUUUAGGUUUGCUUUCUAGAUUUGGGUUCUGCCCAAAACAUGAGUUUAACAUUCUGUCUAAGCUUGACUUAAAUUAAAAAUGCUAAAUCCGAGUCCAACCCACUCGUAAUAAUUUUUUUAGUUUAUUUUUUUAUAUAAAAAUAUAUUAAAAAAAUAUAAUAUAUCAAAUACAAUUAAAAAAUUUAUGCUAAAAUAACACUAAGAUAAUUGCAACUUAGCAAGUAAAUAUCUUUAAAAUAGUAGCAAAACAAUAAAAUAUUAUCAAUAUAUUAAUGAAAUGGUAGCAGAACAAUAGGAAAAAAAAGUUUAGGCUUAUUCAAGUUGGGCCGGGCUCAGGCUCAGACCAAAAGCAUCCUACUCGAGGCCUAACUUAUUUAAAAAUAAACCUUAUUUUUCGUUCAAGCUUAUUUUUUAAACCUGUAUUUUUAUUCAAACUCUCUCACUUUUCGAAUAAAUGGUCCAGGUCAUGAUCAAGUCUAGAAUCAACUACUGAGUUGCUAUAUGGUUUGUAAACCGAAAUGAGAGGGAGGUCUUGGACUUAAGGCCCUUCUAAGUUGGAAUCAAGCCUGCAUUAUUCAACACAUUUGGGCUGUUCUAAUGCAAGCGAGGUCUUUGUGGAACUGCUUGGAUAAGGGCAUAUGUCUUGAAAGGGAGGAGUUUGAUGCAAAUAUCUUGCACGCAAAAUAGUAGUUGGAGCUGGAAGAAAUUAAUGAAACUAAGGCACUUGGUAUAGGGAAUGGAAACAUAGAAAGGCAUUAUUUAGUUGGUAAACUGAAAUGAAUUAAGGCCAAAAGCUAGGAAGGUUUUGUGGAGGAAGUUAAUCUGGUUUCCACUUUACAUCCUUAAACAUUCAAUGGUGGCUUGGAUGACAAUUCUAAAUAAGUUGCCAACAAAGGAUGGGCUACUUGCAUGGGGCUGGACAGUUGAUGAUAGGUGUCAACUAUGUUUUGUGAAAAAGGAGACAGAAUCAUCAUAUUUUCUUUUUUGUGUGCUUAUUCAAGAACAAUAUGACCGAUGAUUUUGCAGGUGUGUUCACUUCAUAGCCAAGUUAUGAAUUGGGAUCAGGGGCUGCAAUGGACUAGCACCGAACUUAAAGGAACAGCAUUCUUAUUUCUUAGCCAUAUUAUUGAGAUUGGCAUGGUCAACAUACAUUAAUUCAAUAUGGAGGGAGAGGAACCAACGACAGUUUGGAAGUGAGCAGAGAUCUAAGAAUGCUCUGCUUGAGGAAAUUAAAAAGGUUAUAAGAUUGAGACUAACUGGGGUAAGAAUUAGCAUGAAUAAUCUUAUUAUUAGCCAGCUGUAUAUUGUAUAAGUUUUUUUUUUUUUUCUAUAGAAUGCUCCGUUUGUAACAUGACACUCUUUUUUGUUAAUUAAAAUUUCAUUUAGGUACAAUUUACUUAAAAA
rnacentral:lncRNA from 1 species